ACGCUCGACACCUACGGGAGGCGGCAGUGGGGAAUAUUGCACAAUGGGGGAAACCCUGAUGCAGCGACGCCGCGUGGAGGAAGAAGGUCUUCGGAUUGUAAACUCCUGUUGUUGGGGAAAAAGAGGAUGGUACCCAACAAGGAAGUGACGGCUAACUACGUGCCGGCAGCCGCGGUAAUCUGAGCGGGCUGGCAAGGC
rnacentral:rRNA from 1 species